CGGUCUCCGCCCGGCUCCCGCGCGCCGCCUCUGCUCUUUGCAUAGUAAUAUCAGUUCCUGCAAGCACCCAGCUCGCUCCCGGAACGGGUCUAAAAAGGACCGCCGCUCCAGAGCCCGCCGAAGCCCUCUGUGUGGCGCCGAGAGCCACUGCUUGGGACAUGCGACGGGAAAACCCCGCCACAGCGCAGGCAGUCGCCCCGCCGCGCGGGGGAGAACCGGGCGAGAGCAGAUGGACCCCUCAGAGGAAUCAUCCCUGACUGAGUCUUCACUCUGAGCUGAUACUGCUUCCCAGAGGGAGACUGCUCUGGGGAGAGUGCUGAGGUUUUCCUGAAGAAGAAUUCCAUGGGGACCGUACCUGACCCUUUGAGAUCGGCUAAAACUUCCUUGCUUGCAGCUUCUGGAAAAGAAGAGGAUCUAGAAGAAGUGCAGCCUGCCUCACCUCGGUCUCGACCAGCCCUCCUCUGUAAGAACACCAAUGGCCUUUCUGGCCCUCCUGAAGGGCCUGUCCUCAGCCCCAGGGCAGCUGCUGAGGCCUUGAUGCAGGCCUUUGAGCAUGAGACCACCCCGCUGGACAUGUCUUCCCCCAGUGUCUUCAGUGAGGUGGAAAAAGCGUGUCCUCCAUGCAACUCUCCUGGCAAUACCCAGCUGCUGGGAAGCAGCGAGCCCACAGCACCAGCUCCGUGUUCUGCAGCAGGAAAGGAUGUUCUAGACGAAGCAUUUACAAUGCCAGCCAAUCAACACAGCCACCAGGCCAUCCCAGGCGACCAGCCUAGUGCCAGCCCCUUAGCAGGACCUGAUGAUACGCUGCUGAAAACCCGGAGAACAUCAGACGGGGAGCAACCUGGAAAGUCAAGUUGUCCUGUGGGCAGCACCCAGGGCAACAGAAAAGCCCAAGUGCCCUGUGAUUUUCCCUCUCAAGAAAUAGUCCAGGGACUGGUGCAAACUGCAAAUACAGCGGCGUCUGUGUUCAGCUACACCUGCUCUCCUGGAGGCGGACCUGAAGGGGAGAGGCCCGGAGCCAUUCUCGACUCCCAGACAAGGUCCUGUGAGUCUCCAGCGAGAGAAGACAGGUGUUCUGGACAUACACAGCGCUCUACCACCACCUCGGACAGCCAGGCCAUGACUUCUGUGACAUCUCAACCAUCCCACCUCACUAGCCAAGAGUCCGCAUUUCCUCCAGAUCUGGGAAAGGUGCCAUUGCCUGCACAGCACCAGGUUUCAAGGUUCAAAGAAGCAAGUACAAUGACCAAUCAACCUGCCGGUGAGGUACAGGAGGUUGCCAGCAGGGCUCGGCAAGAUGCUGAGGUGCAGGCAGUGGCAAGUGUCGAGAGCAGGUCCGUCUCCACCAGCCCCAGCAUCCUCACCGCGUUCCUAAAGGAAAUCCCCAUUCCCGAGCGUCGAGAACCACAGGAGCAGCUGCGUGUCAUCUGCCACAGCAGCAGCCACGGCAGCCACACGCUAGAGCUGUCUGAUGACAUCCUAGCCCCCCAGGAGUCGAGCCAGUGCCCUGGCAUCAUGCCAGAGGUGCACAUCCAGGCAACUGCGGCAGUUUCCACAGCUUGCCAAGGGGACUGUAAAUUGGGGAGCCUCCCAGGGGAGGUCCUUCAAAUCUCCACGAUCACUGUGGCAUCUGGAAAGGCUCAAGAUAUGUGCAAGAAAGAUGGGGGGUCAGCAGGCAUGGCCCCGACAGGGGAGGAGCCCACCUCCAGACAGCUUUCGGACGUGAAUUCUAGCUCCCAGAAAGCUAGCCCGACUGACCAAAUUUCUGUUCGCGCAGGAAGUCAAACUGAAACAAAUCAUGAAUUGGGGAAAUUUGAAAGCAAGCCAUCUGAGUUUGCAGUGAAAACCACAGAUGGUCCCCAAACAAACCCAGACUGCCAACUCUCUGACUCUUGUGGCCCUGCCAGCAAAGACGACCCGUCCGGGAGCGUGGAUCCCGCUGGUAAAGGACAGGCAACAGAGCCUGCAUCUCCGCGCAGAGUAAAACAGCAGGAAUGUCGGGGCACAGAUAACCUCGAAGCCAGGGCAAGGGGAGAGGCCAAGACCCUGCUGCUCAACCCUAAAUCUCAAGAAAGUGCAGGCGCUGGAUCCGCUGCCAGCCCCACACCGUCCCCGGUCAGGAAGAACCAGGACGGUACCUUGGAAGAAAGCAGACAGACCAAGACGGCCACCAGCCUGAGCCUGCCGGCUGACUCCAUGGGGGACUCCAGCCCAGGUUCUGGCAAGAGGACCCCUUCCCGCCUGGUCAAAGCCAGCCCCCGCAGGGCCAGCCGCGUCAGCGAGUUCCUCAAGGAGCAGAAGUUAAACGUGACGGCGGCGGCCGCGCAGGUGGGACUCACCCCGGGAGAGAAGAAGAAGCAACUUAGCACGGACGCCAAGCUGCAGUUGAAACAGUCCAAGCGUGUCAGGGAUGUCGUGUGGGAUGAGCAGGGCAUGACCUGGGAGGUGUACGGUGCCUCCCUGGACCCGGAGUCCCUGGGCAUCGCCAUCCAGAACCAUCUACAAAGACAAAUCAGGGAACACGAGAAAUUAAUCAAAGCUCAAAGCAGCCAGGCCCGGAGAUCCAUUUCCUCAGACACUUCUUCCAACAAAAAGCUCAAAGGAAGGCAGCACAGCGUCCUGCAGUCCAUGUUGCAGAACUUUCGACGCCCCAACUGCUGUGUUCGUCCCGCCCCUUCUUCUGUGUUAGACUGAAAGGGAACGUGUAUGGGAACCCUCGUGCACAGUUACGGUAUUCCCGAGUGUCUGUGAAUUCCCAUCAUUCUGGGAGUACCUGUAUAUACCACAUGAAGAUUAUAAUAUAAUGUGACUUUAAAAUGUGUUUACAGAGAAUAUAUAUAAGUGUGCUGUUAAAGUAAAUUGUUUGGCCUUUGCUAUAUCCACUCAGUUACUGUUUGCUGCCAAAAUGUGAGAAAAUAUCUUCUAUUCCUCCUACGUAUUGUGCAAGUGUUAAAAGAAUUUGUCCAUUUCUAGUACCACAUAAUUCACCACUUCCCCUGUCUACUUUUUAAGAAUCAGUAUAAAGAAAACAAUACCUUAGGAUAAGGUUUGCGUAUACAUAUAUGUGUUUUUACUGAAAAUUGGGCCCUUGCAGCCAUGUGUAGGCCUCGACCGGUCUGAUUUACUCAUCGUCUACAAUACUGCCAUGGAAAUGAUGCUGUUUUCUCUCUCCUGCUUUGUCCUGAGUGGUAUUUGAGAAAUGAUGCCUGUGAAUUUCCCUUUGUGAUAAUAACAGGGUGAACUGGGCAGUAUCUUGGAUAAAUGAGCUGACCAUCUUGUCCCCACCCCUGUUUUGUCUACACAGUGAAUCAGAAGUCUUGUCUGUGUCUGCUUCAGUGUUUGCUAUUUUAUAUUGAUAUCUGAGCAGUUUGUUUUCUGUUAGCAAUGUUCUUUGAUGCUGUGUGUGGCCCUUUUGGUUGAAUCUCUCCAAAUGUGGGUCAGCUGCUGCCACCUGGCAAAUAACAGGUGAUACACUGAAUCUCCUGUCCAUUCUUGUAACUAUAUCCUUCAUGAAAUUCUGCAACUGGCUGAGUAAUUACAACCGUCAUCUGUGCAGACACAUGGGCUUAAGGAUGUCUACAAAAUUUUAGACAUUUUUGCAAAAGGGUAAAAAUAUAGUCUUGUAAAUACUGAAACAUUUCCAUGAACUUUAUCUUACUCUUGGGUGG